rnacentral:lncRNA from 1 species
AAACCUAAGCAAUUUUAGAAUGAAUAGACACAUCUUUAGACUUCUUAUAACCUCUUAAAUAUUAUGAAAUUUGUAUAAUAAGAAGACAUCCUUAAACAGAUGAUAACUCUUUAAAAAUCUAUGCAGUUCUAAAAAUGAAAAGACGUGUCACUAAAAAUGUAGAGAAAUUGCCAAAAAUACCAUUUUCAAAUUAUCACUUUUCAUGUUUACAAUAACCACUUUUACCCUCAUCUUUAAUGAAGGGUAAAAGACAUUUAUAACCAUUUGAUUAACUUUGACAAAAAAAACUUAUGAUUAACUAAUCUAAACUUAAAACAUUAACUCUAAACCCUAAAUCAUCAACUCUAAACCCUAAACCAUGAAACAUCAACUCUAAACCCUAAACCUUCAAAUCUAAACCAUAAAACAUCAACUCUAAACCCUAAAUGUAAACCUUAAACCCUAAAUCUAAACCAUAAAACAUCAACUCGAAACGCUAAAUGUAAACCAUAAACCCUAAAUCUAAACUUAAAACAUCAACUUUAAACCCUAAAUCAUCAACACUAAACACUAAACCCUAAACCGUGAAACAUCAACUCUAAACCCCGAAACAUCAACUCUAAACCUUAAACCCUAAACCUUCAAAUCUAAACCCUAAAACAUCAACUCUAAACCCUAAACAUAAACCCUAAACCCUAUAUUUUCUUAAAUUCGAACCCUAAACCCUAAAACCCUAAACCUUCAAAUCUAAACCCUAAAUCA